GAUGAAGAACGCAGCGAAAUGCGAUACUUGGUGUGAAUUGCAGAAUCCCGUGAACCAUCGAGUCUUUGAACGCAAGUUGCGCCCGAAGCCAUUAGGCCGAGGGCACGCCUGCCUGGGCGUCACACGUCGUUGCCCCCCCAUCUACUCCUUCGGGAUUGCGGGGGGCGGAUGAUGGCCUCCCGUGCGCCUCGUCGCGCGGUUGGCAUAAAUACCAAGUCCUCGGCGACGCACGCCACGACAAUCGGUGGUUGCGAAACCUCGGUUGCCCGUCGUGUGCGGUCGUCGCGCAUCGAGGGCUCGAAAAAAUUGCCGGGCUCCGGCUCGGCUUUCAACGCGACCCCAGGUCAGGCGGGGUUACCAGCUGAAUUUAAGCAUAUCAAUAAGCGGAGGA
rnacentral:misc_RNA from 1 species